GAUGAACGCUGGCGGCGUGCCUAAUACAUGCAAGUCGAGCGAACAGACGAGGCGCUUGCUCCUCUGACGUUAGCGGCGGACGGGUGAGUAACAUGUGGAUAACCUACCUAUAAGACUGGGAUAACUUCGGGAAACCGGAGCUAAUACCGGAUAAUAUAUUGAACCGCAUGGUUCAAUAGUGAAAGACGGUUUUGCUGUCACUUAUAGAUGGAUCCGCGCCGCAUUAGCUAGUUGGUAAGGUAACGGCUUACCAAGGCGACGAUGCGUAGCCGACCUGACAGGGUGAUCGGCCACACUGGAACGGAGACGCGGUCCAGGCUCCUACGGGAGGCAGCAGUAGGGAAUCUUCCGCAAUGGGCGAAAGCCUGGCGGAGCAACGCCGCGUGAGUGAUGAAGGUCUUCGGAUCGUAAAGCUCUGUUAUUAGGGAAGAACAAAUGUGUAAGUAACUAUGCACGUCUUGACGGUACCUAAUCAGAAAGCCACGGCUAACUACGUG
rnacentral:rRNA from 1 species